rnacentral:rRNA from 1 species
CCUACGGGAGGCAGCAGUGAGGAAUAUUGGUCAAUGGGCGAGAGCCUGAACCAGCCAAGUCGCGUGAGGGAGUACUGCCCUAUGGGUUGUAAACCUCUUUUGUCGGGGAGCAAAAGCCGGCCGGGUCCGGCUGUGAGAGUACCCGCAGAAAAAACAUCGGCAAACUCCGUGCCAGCAGCCGCGGUAAUACGGGGGGUGCGAGCGUUCUCCGGAUUUAUUGGGUUUAAAGGGUGCGUCGGCGGAUUUUUAAGUCAGCGGUAAAAUGUCCGGGCUCAAACCGGGCCGGCCGUUGAAACUGGCAGACUGGAGUGUGUGAGAGGAUAGUGGAAGUCCAGGUGUAGGAGUGAAAUCCGUAGAUAUCGGGAGGAACAUCAGUGGCGAAGGCGACUAGCUGGAACAUAACGGACGCUGAGGAGCGAAAGCGUGGGUAGCAAACAGGAUUAGAUACCCGAGUAGUC